rnacentral:rRNA from 1 species
GACGAACGCUGGCGGCGCGCCUAAUACAUGCAAGUAGAACGCUGAAGGAGCAGCUUGCUCUUCUGGAUGAGUUGCGAACGGGUGAGUAACGCGUAGGUAACCUGCCUUGUAGCGGGGGAUAACUAUGGGAAACGAUAGCUAAUACCGCAUAAGAGUAGAUGUUGCAUGACAUUUACGUAAAAGUUUCAAUUACAUCAUUACCACGUGGACCUGCGUUGUAUUAGCUAGUUGGUGGGGUAACGGCUUACCAAGGCGAAGAUACAUAGCCGCACUGAGAGGGUGGUCGGCCACCCUGGGAAGGUGACAGGGCACAGAAGGCCAGAGGAGGGAGCAAGAGGGAAACGGGGGCAAGCAGCGGAAGAUGGAACGCAAAACGCGGCGUGAGUGAAGAAGGAUUUCGGAUAGUAGAGCUCUGUUGUAAGGGAAGAACGUGUGUGCGCGUGGAAAGAACAUAUUGUGACGGUAUCUUACCAGAAAGGGACGGCUAACUACGUG